rnacentral:rRNA from 1 species
UCGAGCGCGAAAGUUCUUCGGAACGAGUAGAGCGGCGGACGGGUGAGUAACGCGUGGGAAAUUGCCCAGUAGUGGGGGACAACAUUCGGAAACGGAUGCUAAUACCGCAUACGCCCUACGGGGGAAAGCAGGGGAUCUUCGGACCUUGCGCUAUUGGAUAUGCCCGCGUCGGAUUAGCUAGUUGGUGAGGUAAUGGCUCACCAAGGCAACGAUCCGUAGCUGGUCUGAGAGGAUGAUCAGCCACACUGGGACUGAGACACGGCCCAGACUCCUACGGGAGGCAGCAGUGGGGAAUAUUGGACAAUGGGCGCAAGCCUGAUCCAGCCAUGCCGCGUGUGUGAAGAAGGCCCUAGGGUUGUAAAGCACUUUCAGCAGGGAGGAAGGCCUUAAAGUUAAUACCUUUGAGGAUUGACGUUACCUGCAGAAGAAGCACCGGCUAACUCCGUGCCAGCAGCCGCGGUAAUAC